AGCAGCCGCGGUAAUUCCAGCUCCAAUAGCGUAUAUUAAAGUUGUUGCAGUUAAAAAGCUCGUAGUUGAAUUUCGGGAUCGACGGGUCGGUCGCGCCUCUGGUGUGUACUGGCCCUGUCGGUUUCUCCCUUCUGACGAACCACGAUGUCAUUAAUUUGGUGUCGUGGGAAAUCAGGACUGUUACUUUGAAAAAAUUAGAGUGUUUAAAGCAGGCAUUCGCUUGAAUACAUUAGCAUGGAAUAAUGAAAUAGGACGUUUGAUCUUAUUUUGUUGGUUUCUAAGAUCGACGUAAUGAUUAAUAGGGAUAGUUGGGGGCAUUAGUAUUCAAUUGUCAGAGGUGAAAUUCUUGGAUUUAUUGAAGACUAACUACUGCGAAAGCAUUUGCCAAGGAUGUUUUCAUUAAUCAAGAACGAAAGUUAGGGGAUCGAAGACGAUCAGAUACCGUCGUAG
rnacentral:rRNA from 2 species